rnacentral:lncRNA from 1 species
AAGCCCAGGGUCUUCCCUUUUUUGGUUUCCUGUUUCACCCCAAAAGUUUUUCUCUCAGGUGUCCCCCCCAUGAAGCCUUUGGCCAUGAUGAGAUGAGGCCAGGCAGCCCUCGCCAGAGCUGGCACCAGGCUCUCUGAACUGUCAACCUCCAAAACUGUGAAUUCAAUAAGCACUCGGCCUGGGGUAGUUUGCAACAGUAACAGGAAAUGGACUCCUAAGCUCCAAGUGAGCUUCGCCACCAUUUACAGCCCUUCACCACCCCUGAGGCUCCAUCCUCAGUGACACAGAAGCCUGAAUUGCUGGGACAGGGUCUCCCAUGCGCCCUCCGAGGCCCCUUUGUCAACCCCCAGUCCAGCAUGGGGACACGCUCAGGUCACACACACCCCACGGGCUGGAGUCCACGUGGGCAGCUGGUGAGUGAGCCCUUGACCUGGACGCACCACUUUCCUUGGCUAGCCCUGGGGCUCCUGGCCUGCUCUUCUCAUACGGGGAAAUCCCUCACACCUUGGCCAAGGACCUGUUAGUCAGCCAGCAGCCUUGCAUUCAUUGUGUUAGGUGCCAACAGGCUGCAUGUUGGACGACAAGGCUCUCAACCUGGAAGCCCUUCCCAAGCCCCACUGCGUGCACGGGCAGUGCACACAGGCCCCUGGCACUGGGGCACUCAGAAGCCAGCAGUGCGCCCAGGAGCAGGGACAACAGAAGAGAAAGAGUGACAGCCGAAAUCCUGCGUCCCUCGAGGUGUGCAUGGGAUUGAGGCUGGUUGGAUGACACACACCCCGUGCCAGAAGAACUGGAAAUUCAAAAGGGAAUCGGGAGGAGUGAAUGGUAACCUCUGCCUUCGCAGCAGAACCCGAACACCCAGCACCUGCCGGGCAGAGGUUGAUCCCCGAGGCGCAGAAACCUGAGCACGUUUCCAGGGCGAAGGAGAACACAGAGUUGUAAAACAAAACACGAUGAAGAGGGAGGAAACACUUAAACCUUCCUCCACCAGACUAAGGGUUAAUGUCCACAAUAUAUCAACAGCCCUUAGGAAUUAAUAAGCAAAGGGCAGGCGGCCCAGUUUAAAAAAAAACUUCGUCAA